GCGGAAGUGGCGGAAUGGUAGACGCGCUAGUUUGAGGUGCUAGUGGGGUGUUGAGCCCCGUGGGGGUUCAAGUCCCCCCUUCCGCA
rnacentral:tRNA from 1 species